UGGGGAAUUUUGGACAAUGGGCGAAAGCCUGAUCCAGCAAUGCCGCGUGUGUGAAGAAGGCCUUCGGGUUGUAAAGCACUUUUGUCCGGAAAGAAAUCCUUGGCUCUAAUACAGUCGGGGGAUGACGGUACCGGAAGAAUAAGCACCGGCUAACUACGUGCCAGCAGCCGCGGUAAUACGUAGGGUGCAAGCGUUAAUCGGAAUUACUGGGCGUAAAGCGUGCGCAGGCGGUUUGCUAAGACCGAUGUGAAAUCCCCGGGCUCAACCUGGGAACUGCAUUGGUGACUGGCAGGCUAGAGUAUGGCAGAGGGGGGUAGAAUUCCACGUGUAGCAGUGAAAUGCGUAGAGAUGUGGAGGAAUACCGGUGGCGAAGGCAGCCCCCUGGGCCAAUACUGACGCUCAUGCACGAAAGCGUGGGGAGCAAACAGGAUUAGAUACCCUGGUAGUCCACGCCCUAAAACGAUGUCAACUAGUUGUUGGGGAUUCAUUUCCUUAGUAACGUAGCUAACGCGUGAAGUUGACCGCCUGGGGAGUACGGUCGCAAGAUUAAAACUCAAAUGAAUUGACGGGGUCAUAGCUGUUUCCU
rnacentral:rRNA from 1 species